rnacentral:lncRNA from 1 species
AAGCAAGCCUGGGCAAUGGCGGGCGCCCCUCCCCCAGCCUCACUGCCAUCUUGCAGUUUGAUCUCAGACUGCUGUGCUAGCAAUCAGCGAGACUCCGUGGGCGUAGGACCCUCCCAGCCAGGUGCGGGAUAUAAUCUCGUGGUGCGCCGUUUUUUAAGCCCGUCGGAAAAGCGCAGUAUUCGGGUGAGAGUGACCCGAUUUCCAGGAGGGGGAGGAGCCAAGAUGGCCGAAUAGGAACAGCUCCGGUCUACAGCUCCCAGCCUGAGCGACGCAGAAGACGGGUGAUUUCUGCAUUUCCAUCUGAGUGAACAUAGAUUCCUUCAGUAAAUAUUGGGAAAACAUUUGCUUCAGGCCCAUUACUGGGUACCGCUUUGAUACAGAGGACACACCAAGGAACAAGACAGAUAGGACCUCUGCCUCUGGUAAGUUUGCAUUCCAGAGGGAGGAGAAGACAAUAAGCAAGCAAGCCAUCAAGACCACGUCAGAUGAGACGAAUAAAGUCAGACAGCUUCCAAGGAGUGGAUGCUUAUGGAGAGAUCACAUGGAGCCUUGUAGCUGAUUUAUAAUCUCAUGGUCCUCAUUCAUACAUCAAACCCCUGAAGGCCUGGCAUUUUUAUCUCCCGACUCAACCUGCAUGCUACCAGAAGCUCGACAAAAUUACGCCUGUUUAGGAAAAGACUGGAGGAAUUCGUGGAGGAAUUCUUGGAGGGGGAACACUGAAGUCCGGUGAGUGGUCCUACAAAAACACUUGAAGGGAUUGAGUUCCAGCAAGAAGAGGAGAUUGGCAUCUAAUUUCCUGUUGGGUUAUGCUUAUGCAGCAGUCUCUGAUCUAUAUUCUGUGACUAUUGAGAAGGAGCAAAGGCUAUUGGAGGAAGGUGAUGGAGUGAAAAAGGGAAAGCAGUUGAGCUUCCUACAUGCUCCAUGCUGUGGCAAGAAAAAAAAUGUGUAAGUUUCCACUAGGUCAAGAGCUGUCUUUUUGCUUAUGGGGUCCAGCCCUAGAGGGGAGGAAGGCUCUUAGGGGCAAGAGAGUGAAGGGUGAACCAUGAGUGGGGCAGCUGUUUAGGUUAGAAGUUAGAAGUCUUCCUGAAUGGAACUCAUCUCCCAUGUUAGGAGCUGGGACUUCUGUAGACCCCAUUUGUGCCCCCACUAGAGAGUCAGUCCCUGGAUACCUGCCUUACCAGGGGCAUCCACUGGCAAGAGAUGAUUGCAGUAGCAUUUCAUCAAUAUGAGAAUUUAUGAAUUCAUGUCCUUCUUUCCACCAACACCCAUCCAAGGAAAAGGAGGUGUAAAAAAGGAGGAAGUAGAGAAGAGUGAAAAAGCUGACCUUGUUUUUCCUUCUCUCUCUUUUUUUUUUUUUUUUUGCGACAGAGUCUCGCUCUG